CAGUAAUGAAUUUGUGGGGGAUUACUUUGUUGGCAAUUGCAAAAACUGUAGGGAAAGAUAGAAAAUUAUACUACAAACAAUGUGAGCCAUUCAGAAAAAAAAUAUUAUUAAUACUGUAGACCACUUGCUAAAAACUGUAGGGAAAAUAUAAAUUCUUGUGAUUUGUUUCGACCAAUGUGUAAGUAUAAUAAGGUAUGCACUCGAAUUAUCGAAUCACUGCACCAUGUGAAGUCCAGUAAUUAAUUUCCUUUGGUUUAAACACUGAAAAUGAACACAAAGAAUGUUUUCAAGGAAGGCUGUGUAUCAAUAGUUUAAGGUAAAACCUAUUGUGUACAUAAGCAACAUACAU
rnacentral:lncRNA from 1 species